rnacentral:lncRNA from 10 species
CAGAUUUUCCAAAUAAUCCUGCCAUUUGGAAGCCUGUUCAUAGCCCCCAAAGUACUGAAAGGCCUUGCAAAAUGCUCAUAGGUGAAACAGCAGGAAGCAUCUAGAGCCAUCUCAGAGGGAGCCUUCUGCUUCCAGAAAUAAAGUCACACAUUCACAGGUGCUUCCUGUUUUUUCAAACACCUUGCCCACCUUCUGCACACCAAGCGUGGAUUCUGCAAAACGUGAGCCCAACAGGAAGCUGCCUGCAAUUUCAGGUAGCUUUUCUGACUCUUAAAGAGAUCUCAAGUAUACUUUCAGAGAAAUGCCAGCAAAAACUGUAGUCAUUCGGGAAGGAGUAAGUCUGGAAGAAAAAGAUACAGUGAACUAGCACAACGAGGAGUUUGAAAAGUUCAUGACAGCUCACAGCUCACGAUGGUGGCGAUCUUAAGGAUACAGAAAGCUCAUUCCUCAUGCAGGGAAGAAGAAAAUAUUCUAAAGAAGAGAUAAGCAUAUUCCGCAAAAUCAAAAAAGUCCUCCUCUCCACCGAGUGUGGUGUGUGUGUGUUGAAACUUAACAUCUGGAAUGGAGGUGGAAGGCAAGCCUGAGAGAAAGGAGUGGACUGGAGAUGGCGUCAGAGAGCUCCUAGCAGAUUUUUCUCCUCGAGACAUAACUCUUCUUUUCAAAUUGUG